rnacentral:ncRNA from 1 species
GUUUGGUCCUAGCCUUUUUAUCAACUUUUUCUUAUCUUACACAUGCAAGUAUCAGCACACCAGUGAGAACGCCCUCUACCCCUUUUUCAGGACGAGGAGCUGGUAUCAGGCACUUUUUUUGCCCACGACACCUAGCUUUGCCACACCCACAAGGGUCAUCAGCAGUGAUAAACAUUGUUCAUAAGCGACAGCUUGAACCAGUUAGAGUUAAUAGAGCCGGCUAAUCCGGUGCCAGCCGCCGCGGCUACACCGUUGGGCUCAAGUUGAUAAACACUCGGCGUUAAGCGUGAUUAAAGUGAAAAACAAAUUAGAGUUAAAUUAUCACCAAGUUGUGACACACUUGUCCUGAGGAAACCCAAAAACGAAAGUUACUCUAACCAACCCACUUGACACCACGAUAGCUAGGGAACAAACUGGGAUUAGGUACCCCACUAUGCCUAGCCAUAAAAUAUUUACCCACACUUAAAACCGCCNGGGAAUUACGAGCUCAAGCUUAAAACCCAAAGGACUUGACGGUACCCCAAAUCCACCUAGAGGAGCCUGUCCUAUAAUCGAUAACCCCCGUUUAACCUCACCAUUCCUUGUCUAUCAGCCUGUAUACCUCCGUCGCCAGCUUACCGCGUGAGCGCCAUAAGUGAGCUUAAUGCCCAUACGCCAACACGUCAGGUCAAGGUGCAGCUAAUGAAAUGGGAAGAGAUGGGCUACACUUUCUACUGUAGAAGAAACGAAAGACUACCUAUGAAAUCUAGUCAGAAGGAGGAUUUAGUAGUAAAAAGAAAACAGAGUGUUCUUUUUAAUCCGGCA